AACGUAGGUUCCGAGCGUUAUCCGGAUUUACUGGGCGUAAAGCGCGUUCAGGCGGUUUGGCAAGUCGGGCGUGAAAUCUCUCGGCUCAACCGGGAGAGGUUGUCCGAUACUGCUGGACUUGAGGGCAGUAGAGGGUGGUGGAAUUCCGGGUGUAGUGGUGAAAUGCGUAGAUAUCCGGAGGAACACCAGUGGCGAAAGCGGCCCCCUGGACUGCACCUGACGCUGACACGCGAAAGCUAGGGGAGCGAACGGG
rnacentral:rRNA from 1 species